rnacentral:lncRNA from 1 species
CAACUUUAAUCAUAUUAAACCAAUCCAAUCCAUAACCCAACAUUAGUUCAUGUGAAACCAACAAGAAUACUUCAAGAACAAAACACAUAACAACAAGUAAUCAUGGACCACAACUUCAACAACUACAAUAUAGUACCAACAUAUAGAAUCAAGGAGAAUUAUGAACAACAACACAUUCAUCAUAGAUUCACACCAGUCCUAACUCCCAAAAAAU